rnacentral:rRNA from 1 species
GCAUAUCAAUAAGCGGAGGAAAAGAAACUAACAAGGAUUCCCCUAGUAACUGCGAGUGAAGCGGGAAAAGCUCAAAUUUAAAAUCUGGCGGUCUUUGGCCGUCCGAGUUGUAGUCUGGAGAAGCGUCUUCCGCGUUGGACCGUGUACAAGUCUCUUGGAACAGAGCGUCAUAGAGGGUGAGAAUCCCGUCUUUGACACGGACUACCAAUGCUUUGUGAUGCGCUCUCAAAGAGUCGCGUUGUUUGGGAAUGCAGCGCAAAAUGGGAGGUGAAUUCCUUCUAAAGCUAAAUAUUGGCGAGAGACCGAUAGCGAACAAGUACCGUGAGGGAAAGAUGAAAAGCACUUUGGAAAGAGAGUUAAACAGUACGUGAAAUUGCUAAAAGGGAAACGCUUGAAGUCAGUCGCGUCGUCCGGAACUCAGCUUUGCUUCGGCUUAGUGCACUUUCCGGUUGACGGGCCAGCAUCGAUUUUGACCGCUGGAAAAGGGCUGGAGGAAUGUGGCACCUUCGGGUGUGUUAUAGCCUUCAGUCGCAUACAGCGGUUGGGAUCGAGGAACGCAGCGCGCCUUAUGGCUGGGGUUCGCCCACAUUCGCGCUUAGGAUGCUGGCAUAAUGGCUUUAAACGACCCGUCUUGAAACACGGACCAAGGAGUCUAACAUGCCUGCGAGUGUUUGGGUGGAAAACCCGAGCGCGUAAUGAAAGUGAAAGUUGAGACCUCUGUCGUGGAGGGCAUCGACGCCCGGACCUGACGUUUUCUGAAGGAUCCGCGGUAGAGCAUGUAUGUUGGGACCCGAAAGAUGGUGAACUAUGCCUGAAUAGGGUGAAGCCAGAGGAAACUCUGGUGGAGGCUCGUAGCGAUUCUGACGUGCAAAUCGAUCGUCAAAUUUGGGUAUAGGGGCGAAAGACUAAUCGAACCAUCUAGUAGCUGGUUCCUGCCGAA